rnacentral:rRNA from 1 species
GAUGAACGCUGGCGGCGUGCUUAAUACAUGCAAGUCGAGCGAACAGACGAGGAGCUUGCUCCUCUGACGUUAGCGGCGGACGGGUGAGUAACACGUGGAUAACCUACCUAUAAGACUGGGAUAACUUCGGGAAACCGGAGCUAAUACCGGAUAAUCUAUUGAACCGCAUGGUUCAAUAGUGAAAGACGGUUUUGCUGUCACUUAUAGAUGGAUCCGCGCCGCAUUAGCUAGUUGGUAAGGUAACGGCUUACCAAGGCAACGAUGCGUAGCCGACCUGAGAGGGUGGUCGGCCACACUGGAACUGAGACACGGUCCAGACUCCUACGGGAGGCAGCAGUAGGGAAUCUUCCGCAAUGGGCGAAAGCCUGACGGAGCAACGCCGCGUGAGUGAUGAAGGUCUUCGGAUCGUAAAACUCUGUUAUUAGGGAAGAACAAAUGUGUAAGUAACUAUGCACGUCUUGACGGUACCUAAUCAGAAAGCCACGGCUAACUACGUG